UUUCUUACUUCUGUGUUAAUACAUAUGCAGCCUCACUCUCAAGUGCAAGAGGAUUGAUCACUGAUGUCCAUUGCACUUAAUAGUGGGGCUUUGUGUGUAUUAUUGUCAACCUGUGAUUUC
rnacentral:precursor_RNA from 14 species